GGCAGCCGCGGCACCUCUCCAGCCCCCUCAGAGCCUGACUGUGGAGGCCGCCAUCUUAGCUCCGGCAGCGAGACCGCCCUCCCGACGCAGACGCCGUCAGGCCCGGGCCCGUCACGGGACACGACCACCUGUGCUUUUGGAUGGGCUUUGGUAUAUACAGUGAUGCUGUCUUCGGUCAUAAGGGAAGAAAUGCAGAGGCAUGAUAACGGGAAAGGAGGAUACAGAUUAAGUGAGAUAAUAUGAGAGAAAGAGGAACUGACAGAGAAGAAAUGAUUAUUCUGAGAAAAAGUAAAUAAGAAAGUCCUCAUGGAUGUCGUCCUACUAGUGAAGAACUAGCCAGCUCCUAGCUGAGUACAGAGUACCUCUGUAAUAAAAACCAUGGAAGUCCUUCCAGGAGCAGAAAUGAAUAACAUUUGUGAAAGAAAUUAAAGAAAUAUGACUGCCUAAACUUUGUCUAUUUUGUGUA